rnacentral:lncRNA from 1 species
CCCAAAGCAAUUCCCACAAUUGCUUAAAAGAUCGUCGCUAAAUUCUGCCAUCAUCUCCACCACCGCGGAUCAUCCUUUGAUCUCCCCGUGAAUUGCAACAGGUUCUGGUUUCCUACCUUACUGCUGCUGCAAUUUAAUUAUCCUUAUUUGAAAAUCUAAAAAAAAUUAUUCUUAUAUUGCUGCAUAAACUUUUCGUCAUAAAGUUUUCAUCUCUACGACGAAAGAUACAUUGCAGAAUUCCAACCGC